ACUACCGCUGAUACUGUCCUGCUCUAACAUACCCUCUGACCGACUUAAACAUCUGUAGGAAAAAAACUUGAGCGCGUCUAAUGAGUCUUAUGGGGAAACCUAAGGAUCAGUGGUUAAGCGCAUUCACAACACGUUCAAACCCCAGCUGUGGACAAAUGUUUUUUACUCAUCAACUGCUUCUACAGUGAGUACUUUCCACAUUCUGUGUAUAACAAAUUCGUAAUAAAUUAAACAAAUUCAAAAUUCAGAAUCUUUUAUUACACAAUAACAUUAAGUACAUAUACAUUAAGUUUUAUAUAUUAAAUGUAAAUACGCAGUUGUUAUGUUAGCAUAUAUAUCGCCUUGAAAAUUGCCGUAACUGGUAUUCUUGUUUAUAAAUGGUUUUAUUCCAGUUCUUGCUGUGAAUACAGAAACUUUAAAAAAAAGUAGUCUCUCGGUAAUUAAAUUAAUUCGUAGCAUAAUAUUCAGCUUCUGGUAUAUACUUUCAGAAAUUAUCGUAAUCGACCAAAGACCUCAUCUAUACAUUAGCAACAUAAAUGUGAAUCUGUACAAAACUCUGCUGCGACCAGUGGUUCUGAAACCUGGACACUUCGCAAGAAAGACAAGCUAGUUCUAACAAGCGGAAGUUUCUUGGAAAAAUCAUAAAUUCAACAGGCUUAAGUGACAUUUGCACCGAAUGGCGGACGACAGAACCUCAAGGUCCCUACUGAACACUCCCUUAGGCUGCAUUGAUGGGAUGGAGUUGUCAAGGACCUCGAAACAAAAGGUAUUGAAGAUGGACGCAAGAAGUACGAAAUAGAAUGCGAUAGCGAAAUAUACUUGAGGAGGCUAAGGGCUUACAUUGCUGAUGGUGAUGAUAUAAAUGCGAAUGGAAGACAAUGAGCAUCCAAUCGUUAAAUCGGAAUCCUUCACACAACUUUACUAAUUAUAUUUGUAUUGCAAAUAACGUUGAAUAAACAUUCUGAGCUAA